UUGACCUGGCUCAGAUUGAACGCUGGCGGCAGGCCUAACACAUGCAAGUCGAGCGGCAGCACAAGUGAGUUUACUCAUGAGGUGGCGAGCGGCGGACGGGUGAGUAAUGCCUAGGGAUCUGCCCAGUCGAGGGGGAUAACAGUUGGAAACGACUGCUAAUACCGCAUACGCCCUACGGGGGAAAGAGGGGGACUUUCGGGCCUCUCGCGAUUGGAUGAACCUAGGUGGGAUUAGCUAGUUGGUGAGGUAAUGGCUCACCAAGGCGACGAUCCCUAGCUGUUCUGAGAGGAUGAUCAGCCACACUGGGACUGAGACACGGCCCAGACUCCUACGGGAGGCAGCAGUGGGGAAUAUUGCACAAUGGGGGAAACCCUGAUGCAGCCAUGCCGCGUGUGUGAAGAAGGCCUUCGGGUUGUAAAGCACUUUCAGUAGGGAGGAAAGGGUAAGUCCUAAUACGGCUUAUCUGUGACGUUACCUACAGAAGAAGACCGCUAACUCCG
rnacentral:rRNA from 1 species